rnacentral:tRNA from 1 species
GCGGGUAUGGCGGAAUUGGCAGACGCGUAUGAUUCAGGUUCAUAUAUUCGCAAGGAUGUGCAGGUUCAACUCCUGUUACCCGCACCA